UUAUUUCCUCCCUUGGUAGUCCUUUGAGGCUGAGAAUGUAGAGGCUCGCAGUUCAUAAAAUGAUGCAGUGAGGACAAGAGGCAAAGGAGGAGAGCUGCAUAUGCUGUAAGGAGGAACAACAAGAGGGCAUUAUGGGUUGGGGCUGGAAUCAAGUCAAUGGACUCAGAAAAACAAAUGUUGAAGCAAAGAUGGAACUGAAGAUGCCCCUGGUUGUGACUGCCUCUGCCUAAUAUUAGCCCCAUGAGCAAUAUCGCUGUUUCCUUGGGAAUCACAUGUUUUCUCAGUGUGGACUACAGCCAGAACAGCCAUUCCUAUGUAAUCAUGUGGACAUGCUCGAGAAAAACAAUAAUGAACAUCCUUGCCUCAGUAGACAGAAGAUGAAAAGCUGUGGAUUCUUUCCAGACUAACAUGGUUUCAUCAAGCAAGAGCCCUUGAAGCAAUGGCCAGAUCAAAAUCAGAAGAAACUGGAAAUCAACAGGACCACUAGUCUACAAUCCACACUACCAGAGGAGCUAGGAAAAAAGGAGGACCU
rnacentral:lncRNA from 1 species